AUGCAAGAUCCCAGAUGCCCAUCAUCAAAUUUUAAAGUAGAGAUUUGCUGUUAUGGGAGCAUAAAGUCCUGCAGAAAUUGUACUAGUUGGCAGUAGCAGAGUAACACUCUUUUUUUCUUUUUUUUUUUGGUGUGCCUUCAAUUGUAAGCUUGCUCAGAAAAUCUAAGUGAGAGUUCAUUUUUGUCUCUAGUUAUAUUAUACUUCAGCUUUCCAUCACCACGGGUGCAUCACCAUAAAACAGAUGUGAUGCCUGUGGCUGUGGGUGGUAAUGUUUUUAUUUCAGUUGAAUUUGGUGUCCUG
rnacentral:lncRNA from 1 species